rnacentral:rRNA from 1 species
AUUGAACGCUGGCGGCAUGCUUUACACAUGCAAGUCGAACGGUAACAGGCCUUCUGGUGCUGACGAGUGGCGCACGGGUGAGUAAUGCACCGGAACGUGUCCCGAGGUGGGGGAUAACGCAGCCAAAGCUGUGCUAAUACCGCACGUGAUCUGAGGAUGAAAGCGGGGGACCAAGUAGCAAUGUUUGGCCUCGCGCCUCUGGAGCGGCCGAUGUCAGAUUAGGUAGUUGGUGGGGUAAAGGCCUACCAAGCCGACGAUCUGUAGCUGGUCUGAGAGGACGACCAGCCACACUGGGACUGAGACACGGCCCAGACUCCUACGGGAGGCAGCAGUGGGGAAUUUUGGACAAAGGGCGCAAGCCUGAUCCAGCAAUGCCGCGUGCGGGAAGAAGGCCUUCGGGUUGUAAACCGCUUUUGUACGGAACGAAAAGGCUCUGGCUAAUACCUGGCGCUGAUGACGGUACCGUAAGAAUAAGCACCGGCUAACUACGUG